rnacentral:rRNA from 1 species
GAUGAACGCUAGCGAUAGGCCUAACACAUGCAAGUCGAGGGGCAUCACAUGAAGUAGCAAUACGGAUGGUGGCGACCGGCGCACGGGUGAGUAACACGUAUGCAACCUGCCUUCAACAAGGGGAUAACCCGUUGAAAAACGGACUAAUACCCUAUAAUACAGGGGUCCCGCAUGGGGAUAUUUGUUAAAGGACAACCGGUUGAAGAUGGGCAUGCGUUCCAUUAGCUAGUUGGCGGGGUAACGGCCCACCAAGGCAACGAUGGAUAGGGGAACUGAGAGGUUUAUCCCCCACACUGGUACUGAGACACGGACCAGACUCCUACGGGAGGCAGCAGUGAGGAAUAUUGGUCAAUGGACGCAAGUCUGAACCAGCCACGUCGCGUGAAGGAAGACGGCCCUACGGGUUGUAAACUUCUUUUGCAAGGAAUAAAGUGGGCCACGUGUGGCCUUUUGCAAGUACCUUGCGAAUAAGGAUCGGCUAACUCCGUGCCAGCAGCCG